CAACUGUGAUCCUGAGCUGUGCACACUUCUGGUUGGGAUUAUUUCUGGUUUCUACUUCCUGUUUGAAGAUGUGGCAUGGAGAGUGUAAGUUGAAGAGAUGAGUGCGGGGCUCAUCUAUCCCUGGAAUUGUCUUUCCCACAAUCUCUGACACAGAAUAUGAGCCAUACAGGAAUUCUGAAGAAAUGGGUCUCUUGCCACCUCCCAGUAAAAGAUUAUUUUUGAAAAAAAAAAGCCUCUGCUUUGACCUGAAGUAUUUUAUGUAUCCUCAGUCUCAGGACACUGUUGAUGGAAUUAAGGCCAAGCACAUCUGCAAAAAAGACAUUGCUGGAGGAGGUGCAAAGAGCUGGAAACCAAGUCUCCAGUCCUGGGAAAAGCAGUGGUAUGGAAAAGCAAUGGAAAGAGGAGCUGUUAUCACUGCAGAACCAAGGUCACCUGUGGAAGCUCCUUGCUGAAGCCAGUUUUCUAUCAGAUCAUCCAUCAGGCCUAGCAGGGGGCAGGCAUUGUGCUGACUGUGGAAGAUCACAGAGAGUGUGUCAGAGUGAAAUUGACUUUGGAACUGUCUUUGUCCCUUUUGUACAGACCACACAACUGGUGCCAAUGGCGUCGCUGCCUGACUUUAAACUGUCCUGCCACUAG
rnacentral:lncRNA from 1 species